rnacentral:tRNA from 1 species
GCCUGGCUGGCUCAGUGGUGGAGCAUGCAACUCGUAAUCUCGAGGUUGUGAGUUCGAGCCCCACACUGGGUG